rnacentral:rRNA from 1 species
UGGGGAAUCUUGCGCAAUGGGCGAAAGCCUGACGCAGCAACGCCGCGUGGGGGAUGAAGGCCUUCGGGUUGUAAACCCCUUUCAGCAGGAACGAAAUUGACGGUACCUGCAGAAGAAGCACCGGCCAACUACGUGCCAGCAGCCGCGGUAAUACGUAGGGUGCAAGCGUUGUCCGGAUUUAUUGGGCGUAAAGAGCUCGUAGGCGGUUUAGCAAGUUGGGUGUGAAAACUCCAGGCUCAACCUGGAGAUGCCACCCAAGACUGCUAUGACUGGAGUCUGGUAGGGGAGCACGGAAUUCCUGGUGUAGCGGUGAAAUGCGCAGAUAUCAGGAGGAACACCGGUGGCGAAGGCGGUGCUCUGGGCCAGUACUGACGCUGAGGAGCGAAAGCGUGGGGAGCAAACAGGAUUAGAUACCCUGGUAGUCCACGCCGUAAACGUUGGGCACUAGGUGUGGGACCUUAUCAACGGGUUCCGUGCCGUAGCUAACGCAUUAAGUGCCCCGCCUGGGGAGUACGGCCGCAAGGCUAA